AGCACACCUGUGUCACCUAGAAUUUCAAUUUACAGCUUUGAAGGUGUGGAGGAACCCAAAACUAGAGAUCGCAAACAUGUCCUCCAGUAAGUGCAAGAGAGAAAUCCGAAGAAUCUUCACUUCAGGGAAUGUGGAACCAGGAACGUUGUGAUUUUAUGAGAGGAUAAAAGAGAUCGCAGACACUGGAGUGAUGGAUAAUAACGGGGCACUGGAAGAACCCAGUGGAUCAAGCAGCGUCUGUGGAGGCAAAGGGUGACGUCUGUAAGCUCUGUAGCUGCUCCAAGUGGCAACUGAUGGAUAAAGGACAAAUGAGGGUGGAAGUGGCGUGAUCCGUGGACAAAUACAAAACGUUUGAACGAUGGCUGGAAACAAUGAAAAUCUGCAGAGAAUGAGACCUGGGGUCACUGUGAGAAACAUCUGCUGACGAUCAAUACCAUGCGGGAAUAAAUGAGAGAUCAAGAGAAUAAGCAUACCUCCUUCCGUGAUUAAAUUCUAAGCUGAAGCCAAUUAAAUCACUUCAUGGAAUGCCUGUUUCAAAGUUCCCAUCACAAACACACAUCAGAAUCGAACCACUUAAUGUGAAUCAGACAGAAUGACAGAAAAUUAUUCCUGUCAGUGGAUCAUAAACUAUCUAUUUGUGGAUUUAGUUGCUGACUUAAUACUCGGGAUGUGUUUACUGGAUCUGAUACCAAGGGCAAUUAUGCCUGAAGUGACAAAUUAGUAUUCCUGCGACUGAAUUCAUCACCAUGUUCGUCACAAGCAUCUCAGACUUGUUUGAGGUGAAAGAACUGAAAUUAUUACAUUUUUGAUUCAUACUAUUUGUGAGACAGGGUUUGUUCUCAAAUUUAAUGGAAGCAGCCUGUUGUCUGCACAGUUGAGUAAAAGUCUGUCAUAAACAACAUUCACUCGAUUCUGAGCACUUGCUAAAAUGCUGGAAAAGAAAUGCUGGAAAAUCCGCAUUGAUAUGAAAAUCAUCUGGAGGUCUAUGAUUUAA